GUUUUUUGUUUCAACUUGUUUCAAUUCAACUGACUCAUGAAAUAGGUCAUUAAUAUCUACUUUUGUCUCUACGGGAACUGCUGAAAAAAAAACUCACUAAGGACGGAAAGGACAGAAAAUUGAGGAUAGUUGAAAAACUCUUUCAUGAAAGGUUGCUUGCAAAAUUGUUAAUGGGACUCGACUCAUCUGUUUUCCCCUUACUGAAGAGCUUUGUGAUACUUUUCGAGAUGAAGGAACCUCUAAUUCACUUGUUACAUGAAGAACAGGUUAGACUUUUCAAAGAAUUCCUAGUUUGUUUCAUCAAGCCUGAUGUUGUGAUCGGGGCCAAGUCAUCCUCAAGGUUGAAGAAACUGGAUAUUUCAAGCCAAAGCAAUCAGUUAAAUGCAGAAAGCAUGUUUCUUGGGGUGAAGGCACAUUAAGCGAUUAGAAAAUCAACCAAGAAGGACUUUGUGGUGAAAGGCUUUAUGAAACAAGUUGUUGAUGCCUUCACCCUCUGUGGUAAAGUGUUGCAGGAUAAGUUACCUUUAACUAAUCCACUCCUUCAAUCACUGGGGGCAAUCCAUCCAGAAAUUAGGGGCCAUUCUAAGACUUUGUCAUUUAUGCAGAAGCUUCCUACAUAUGCCACCACAGUACUUAAUGAAGCUGAAACUGAGGAACAUGACCAAGAAAUCAGGAAGUGUCACAUUGACAACUCACUUCCAGAGAUAGAAGAUACCAGGAUUGAUCAUUGGUGGUGAAAAGAGGAAGUUGUUCAGAAAUAUCCUAACCUCUCAAAAUUGGUACAAGCUUUACUUAGCUGCUUUAAUGGUCCUCAGGUGGAAUUAUCUUUCAAUGUCAUGAAUGAUGUCAUAGACAACAAGUCUGGAAGAUUGAAUCUGGAGACCUACAGUGCCAUACAGACUAUUAAAUAUAGACUUAGUGCUGAUGGAAAAAAUGCCAUUCACUUUUUUCAGAAGAAGGAUUAUAUGCAUGAAACUGUGGACAAAAUGCUUUGCAAAAAUAUGAGCAGUUCUAAUAAUGAAUAUAAAGCUGAUCUAGAUAAGAAAAAGGAUGAAAAGCUUUUGAAACAGAGACAGUUAGAUAUUCGUGUUAAAAAUUCUCAAUCUAAGACAAAGGCAAAAGAAUUGAUUGUACAUGCAGCUAAAAAAGCAAGACUGGGACAUUGUCAAAACAUGAAAAAAUUAAGAACUUAAGUGUUUUUUGUUGUAAUUUAUUUCUACAAAGAAGGACUAUAAGUAGAUAUUUUCAUGUUGAUUUUAUCAUUUAAAAUUCAAA